GCUGCACCACAGACAGGUCUUUUCUCUGCAGAUCUCAACAUAUCUUGCAGGAGCAGCUGGUGUUUAGCAUUGCUGUUUUGUUGCUGUGCAAAGUGGCCUUGAGCAGAUUGAUACAGGACAAGAUUCACUCUAUCACAUAUACAUUUUAAAUCUUAUUUCUUAUUCAUCCCUACUUAUCAUCCUGAGGUCUGUGCAUGGGAAACUGCAAAUCUACGAGUGUGCCUGAUGGUAGUGAGGUAUAAAUCAUCACAAAACUGUCUGCUGCUUUAAUGUCCUGCUUCAAUUUUGGGAGUAUUUCUGGAGGAGGAGGCAGAAAAUGUGAUCCUUGUGGAAAGACAAUGUUUUGUCUCUACAUUUGGAAGCUUCUUUCUUGAGGCAUUAUAAUCAACAGAUCGAGUGGGACUUAAAAUGUAUGUGUGCCGAUUGCCACAGUACACAGCACAUCACACUGUGACUUAAAACAUACUCUGAAGAGAUCUCUCCUUUUCAUAUGUAAUAUGGAACUGGAAUGAGAAUUAGAGGCA